UACGGAGGAUCCAAGCGUUAUCCGGAUUUAUUGGGUUUAAAGGGUGCGUAGGCGGCUUUUUAAGUCAGGGGUGAAAGACGGUAGCUCAACUAUCGCAGUGCCCUUGAUACUGAAGAGCUUGAAUACACUAGAGGUAGGCGGAAUGUGACAAGUAGCGGUGAAAUGCAUAGAUAUGUCACAGAACACCAAUUGCGAAGGCAGCUUACUACGGUGUCAUUGACGCUGAGGCACGAAAGCUAGGGGAGCGAAUGGG
rnacentral:rRNA from 1 species